ensembl:lncRNA
GUGAGCUGUGAGGAGUGUGCCCUCUUGCAGGACUGAGGGAAAGGGGGCCGUGGUGGGGUGCCGGCAGUCGCCCACACACUUAGCUCAUUAGAUCUUUCGCCCUGAAGUUUUUCUCCACCCUUAGUCCAUACGCAUAAUGCAUUAAUUUCACAUUCAAAAGCAGAGUGCUUUGGUUGAACCAUAGUAUUUAGCAGCGUGUUAGCGUGGCGGGGAGAGAGGCACGGGGUGAAGAAAACCCAGUUUCUUUCCUGCAGUUGCUCUCAGUAUGGCACCAGAGCACAGGGCUAUGGAUGAAUGAUCCAGGAGCGAUAUACCGUGGAUGCAAAUAAAAAUAUGUAGCAGAAACACAGAGCUUUGCUACAUAAGUUCAGGAGAGAAGAUUCUGGAUUCGGACUUAGUUUGCUCCCUAGCCAUGUAACCUAAAAGAAAUUACUGGAUCCUUCCUGCCUUCAGUUUUCCAGUGUGUAAAUGGGAUUGAAAUAGGUGUGCCUGUCUAUCAGGGAGUUAUGGUUACCAGGGUUGCAGGAGGUGACACAGGUGUAACACAAGCCACGUUCCAGACUCAUGGUGAGCACUUGAUAAAUACCAGCUUUUACCAGCAGUUGUCCUUGGGGGUAGCAUUUGGAGUAAGAGCAGUGGGAGCAGUCAUGGGUAGGAAUCAGGAUCUGGAAAGACGUUGAGGUCACAUUGACAAAGACGUGAGGGCAUGCAGGAACACGGCACAUCUGGGUAAUAAUUAAUAGGCCAAACUAUUCCAGUGUUCCAGUGGGAAGGAACGGAGUUGGAAAAAGACCAGGAAAAGAUUGUACAGGGUGGGGCUGAUAGAGGGAGCAGCCGGCCUGAGGGCCAAGGCUGCCCACUGGCGUUUUGAAGGCAGUGGUCGUGAAUGUGUGUCAGGAACACUGCAGGAAUGGCCACAGAGUUUUGCAGGCGGCACGUGCCGGCGGGUCUCUGAUGCAGGGCCACACAGGGAGCCACCUGAACACCGUGAGAGGGACCAGGCAGACUACCUUGCUCUUGUGUAUCUUCCGGCCAUCCCAGAAGCUGCUCCUGUGCUGCUCAGGAAGUACUGUGGGAGCCGUGUCGGUCACCCAGCUAACAAAACCACCCGAGCUCGUCAGGGUUCCACCCAGCGCCAGUGCAGUGGGGGCUAACAGACCUCAGAAUGUGCAGCCUUGAACAUGGCAAAGGUGACCCGGAUGUGGUCCAAUGACAGAGGAAACUGUGACGUCAGCAGCCUUGCUUUGUGUCUCCAGUCCCCCAGCUCUCCACUGCUGCUCAUCCCCUGGUUUAAGAGAAUUCCAGAGAAAACGUGCGUCCUGAGAUCCUGCCUCUGGCUGCCUUUUUGUCUUGGGAAACUGUGUCCUUCCUCAUCCCAGGCCUUAAAUUAAAGAGGUUCACUUGGCAUGCUUCAAUUAACUGCUCCUUCUUAUAAAUUUGCUUUUAUAAGGGGGAAUUUAUAUAUUUAUAUGUGGGAAAAAAGUAUGCAUUUUUAUAAAUGAGCUGCAACUAGAAAAAAUAAAUGCAAUUAAAUAUUAUUAUUGAAUUACA